rnacentral:sRNA from 2 species
UAUUCUGCCCCAUGGGGAAGGAUGAGAAGCUUCGACUAAGGUUCGACUCGAGCGAAGCGAGAGAACGUUGCCGCAGGCAACGGCCCGAAGGGCGAGGAGAGAUAGCGACGAGUUAUCCUUCCCCCACCACCA